CGUGACUGCCAAGUAACAGGAAUGAAACUGCUUGGCUCUGAGGAAUCAGAACAUGAAGUGCCUACACUUUGGUUUAAUGAUUAUCUGGCUUUUAAAUAGUCGUUUCUCCACUGCGUGCAUGUGACUUUAUCGUUUGUGGGGAGCACAUUGCAAGACUAUAUACUUUUAACAGGAUAACCAAAGAAGAAGGCUGCUGGAGACACGAGCGAGGCAAGUUAUCUUACAGCAAAACGGAAAGAAAGUGUCCCAGAACAGCUACCCCAUCAUCAAGCCUGCGCUCCAGUCUAAUGGGUCGUCUGUUAGAGCAAGUCAUGAGGUGCGGUGAAUGGACUCCCGUGAUGAGGUAAUACAACGGAAUCAGACAUAUAUCAUCUUGGUGAAAAAGAUCAAUUUAGAAGCAACAUUUAAAGUACUCAAUUUCCCAAUAUCACGAAAUAGAAAAUGUAGAAAGUACUGUGUGAGACAAAACAAUUUUCCAAGGCACGAGUCCACUUCAGUGUAUGUAGCAGGGAUAUUAAAGAGGAAGAAAAGAAAACCUUCAACAAUGUCUUCUGUCUUAUGAACAUUAGGGAAGGGUUUUGUUUGCCACAUAAGACUUGAGUCUGACUAAAAAGAGCAGGCCGGGAGUGGUCCCUGAUGGUGCGACCAGGAAUUAACCCAGGUUCAUGAACUGCCUUUUUGGAGCCUAUUCCCUAUGGUUAUAGUCUACCAUCGAGGGAAUCCGAGACAUGAACCCAAAGCAGGUGCCUGAAGCAGGAACUGAAUCAGAGACCAUGGAGGAAUGCUGCUUACUGACUGACUUGCUACUGUGAAUUGCUCAGCUAUGUUUCUUAUACAGCCAGUAUCCACUGGCCCGAGGGUGGGGCUGUUUACAGCUGGCUUGGCCAUUCUAUAUCAGUUAGCAACAUAUCCACAGACUCAUCUGAUGGAUGGGUGUAAUCCUUAAGUUGAUAUUCCUUCUUUCCAGGUUGUUUUCAGUUCCCACAUCAGUCUGGGUGAGAGUUGAAUGUGCUCCCACACGCCAGUGUCGCCAUCGCUGCCAUCCUCGUGUCAUGGCGGGCAUCACGUCCUGAGGAAGAACAGGCCGUCCAAGGGGAAUCUAUUUCCAUAGCCUUUUAUUUUACUUAAAGCUGUCUAUGUCUAACAUAAAACUGUAUUUUAUUCAACCACCAGAGGGAGCCCCCAAAUCUAUGGUUUCUGAAAAGGAAAUAUGACUGAAGUGUCAACUUUAUAAAUUUUAUGCUCAACAAUUAAAAAUCCAACGCAUUCCAUUUCAUGUCAUGGCUUCCAUGAGGGUUUUCAUACAGAAGAUGUCAGGCUUUUCUCCUGCUCUAUAUGCCGUAUCAUUUUGGUUAACAGUUUUUAUAUAAUACUCUAUUUCUGCACGAUUUUGAUUUUUUUUAGUAGUUUGAGUAAUUCUGAUAUUUUAAUUAUAUAGUUGAUUGAGACUCACCAAUAUCUUGCUUCAAAAUGAUUUUCCUUCCAUAAUUAUAUUAAGUCCUAACUUUUUUCAGGUGUAUUUUUGUCUUCAAAUUGUAACCCCAAACCAAGGGUUUGCCACAUCUAUUCCUUUCCAUAUUUAUUAAUUUUGAUACAUUGCUUGUCUGACCAGGAUUUAUUAUUAAAUAUUUAAGAAGAGUCUUGGGGUUUUAGAAUUAUGAGUCUUUUUCAUAUUUGGGAUUGUUAACCUAAUGCAUGUUUGACAAAUAGGGUGACCAUGAUAUUCUCAGGCGUUUCCUUCCAUCAUCUGCAAACUCAUUUUCUCCCAUGGAGAAUCAAGUGAUUCAAAUGUUUCCACCAAUAUUAUUUACACAUGGGAUGAGGAGGAUGUUAUUCAACUUUUUCCUCUUGGCAGAGCUGGCUAUUUCAGACAAAGGAGAGCCCUGGGCCUCCCAGAACUAACCUUCGAUUGCUGAUACCUUGUCAGUAAACUUGAGUUUUCAUGUCCAUGCAGGUCUCCCUCUCCCUCUCCCUCCCUCCGUCUCUCUCCAUCCCUCCCAUAUAGACUUAUACAUGCAUCAUGCUGCUGUCACUACAGCAGUUGAGGUAGCAAAGAUACCCACUAUCUCCAAGCAUUUCCUCCCGUCUGCUAUCUAUUGUGAUAAGAACACUUACCACAGUAGCAAAACUUUAGGGAAGGGUAGCUCCUAAGAAUUAGUUUUGUCUACUGUUUGUGCGUCCCACUGUCAAGUGUCCCUGUUUUUUUUUCUUUCACACAUUAAUGUCAUCAAUCUUGUUUUGUGACUGUGAAAAAUUGUUGUGCAUGAAGGUUAAGCAAAUUACCCAGGGUCACAGAGCAGACGAGUGAAACCUGGGCCCAGAUCCAGGCCUCUGAACGGCUGGGUUGACAUAUGGUCUCCAGUGCUCCACGCAGCUGCAGGCUGGCCUGCUCCUGCCCACUACACUUAGUAAAAGUCGGCUAUUUUAACUCCCAAUCUGAGUCAAAGUCAAUGGAAUUUCACUAAAGUUACUAGAAUGUUGUCUCAGUAGAAAAAUGAAUUAUGAAUAAUGAAUAGAGGUGAAACAGAUUCAUCCCUAGUCAGUAUUGACAGAGUCAUUCUUCUUCUUCUCUUUCUUUAACUUCCAAAUUCUCCAGAAAGUGCUUACAGAUGUGUAAUAUUUCCACGAGAAGUUUCUAUGACAACACCACCUGAAUACUAACGUUUUAGACAAAGUAUUCCUUUGAUAUUUGUAUAAUUGCCUGAUAGUUAUAUGUAAAUCUUUAUUGGAUAAAUAAAGACUAUUUUAAAAUGAA